CAAUAGCGUAUAUUAAAGAUGUUGCAGUUAAAAGCUCGUAGUUGGAUCUCAGGUUUAGGCUGGCGGUCCGCCUCGCGGCGGUUACUGCCUGUCCUUACCUACUUGUCGGUUUUCCCUUGGUGCUCUUGACUGAGUGUCUCGGGUGGCCGGAACGUUUACUUUGAAAAAUUAGAGUGCUCAAAGCAGGCGUCUCGCCUGAAUAAUGGUGCAUGGAAUAAUGGAAUAGGACCUCGGUUCUAUUUUGUUGGUUUUCGGAGCUCGAGGUAAUGAUUAACAGGGACUGACGGGGGCAUUCGUAUUACGGUGUUAGAGGUGAAAUUCUUGGAUCGCCGUAAGACGAGCGACUGCGAAAGCAUUUGCCAAGGAUGUUUUCAUUGAUCAAGAACAAAAGUUAGGGGAUCGAAGAUGAUUAGAUACCGU
rnacentral:rRNA from 1 species